rnacentral:rRNA from 1 species
GACAGAGGUGCCGAGCGCUAGGCGGAAUCACUGGGCCUAAAGCGUGUGUAGGCGGGCCGUUAAGUGCCUUGUGAAAUCCCCCGGCUCAACCGGGGAACUGCUGGGCAGACUGGCGGUCUUGAGAGACUCAGGGGCCAUCGGAACAAGUGGUGGAGCGGUGAAAUGCGUAGAUAUCACUUGGAACGCCGGCGGCGAAAGCGGAUGGCUGGGAGUCUUCUGACGCUGAGACACGAAAGCCAGGGGAGCGAACGGG